CAUUACCUUACCAGAAAAGCUAAGAAAAAAAAAGAAAAUAGAGAAAACUGGCACUGAGCUACUAGUCUGCUCGUAUCCGCAGGCCCGUUGCUUCCCCGCUGGUGCGGUGGCCGAUCUAGAUCGCCCCCCGUGGAUCUCCGUUCACCGCCUCAACGUCUCUCCCUCUCCCGUGGCUUCAUUCCGGGCGGCGCCGCCCUCUCCGUCGGGUCCUUCGCCGGCGAAUAGCACCCACCAGGAUCCAGAGCGUGCUACGACCUCUCCUACCCGUCCGCCAUGAUUAAUUUCGUGCUCCUGAUCAGCCGCCAGGGCAAGGUGAGGCUCACCAAGUGGUAUUCGCCUUACACCCAAAAGGAGAGGACCAAGGUCAUUCGUGAGCUCAGUGGACUCAUUCUUACGCGAGGACCCAAACUCUGCAACUUUGUCGAAUGGAGAGGUUACAAGGUCGUAUACAGGAGGUAUGCCAGCCUGUAUUUCUGCAUGUGCAUUGAUGCUGAUGACAAUGAGCUCGAAGUCCUCGAGAUCAUCCAUCAUUUCGUCGAGAUACUGGACCGCUAUUUCGGCAGCGUAUGUGAACUGGAUUUGAUAUUCAAUUUUCACAAGGCCUACUACAUACUGGAUGAGAUUCUUAUCGCUGGCGAGCUUCAAGAAUCUAGCAAGAAAAAUGUUGCAAGACUUAUUGCUGCACAGGAUUCAUUAGUCGAGGCUGCGAAAGAGGAAGCCAGCUCCAUAAGUAACAUCAUUGCUCAAGCUACAAAAUAAAAUUCUACACCACUCUAAUGCCGGCCCCUUUACUCUAUCCUGUCGUUUUUGUACAAGUAAAUGUGCACAAGCACAAGAAAGGUUACAUGUCUUGCCUUUCUUUUCAUGUGCUUACAAAGAACAUAGAGCAGUGGACAUAUUCUAGGCUGGGCGCUGUCUUUUGCUUUGCUCUGCACCAGUAUUUCCCCUCACCUUGGAUAACUCACCCAUGUUGUAUGCUUUAAGAAGAUGGUGGAAUAGUUUGUGAGGAACUGAAAAUGGCGCCCGCUAUAGCUGUUGUGUGUGUUCAUCUCCA